AUCCUCGUAGUUCAAUGGAAGAACAGAACCCUCCUAAGGUUAAGAUUCCAGUUCAAUUCUGGACGAGGAUACCA
rnacentral:tRNA from 1 species